rnacentral:misc_RNA from 1 species
GAUGAAGAACGUAGCGAAAUGCGAUAAGUAAUGUGAAUUGCAGAAUUCAGUGAAUCAUCGAAUCUUUGAACGCACAUUGCGCCCCCUGGCAUUCCGGGGGGCAUGCCUGUUCGAGCGUCAUUACAACCCUCAAGCUCUGCUUGGUAUUGGGCUCUGCUGGGACCGGCAGGCCUUAAAAUCAGUGGCGGCGCCACUCGGCUUCAAGCGUAGUAAUUCUUCUCGCUUCGGAGACCCGGGUGCGUGCUAGCCAGCAACCCCCAACUUUCUUAGGUUGACCUCGGAUCAGGUAGGGAUACCCGCUGAACUUAAGCAUAUCAAAAGCGGAGGA